CACACAGGCCUGGGUGCUGGGAGUGGGUGAGGGCCUGGGGUACCAACAGCAGAAGUUGCUGCUUUGGUUCUCAUUUCAAAACUGCUUGAGAACGAAGAUCAGAAAGAGAAUCACAGGGCAUAAUGAACUGAAAGGAAACAGGGACAUGAAAAUGCAGGAGACAUUGGUGGCCUGCUGGCAGCGAGGAGAGGAACUGUUUGCUCCAGUUAAUGUGGUGAAUUGUGAGGAUAGAUUUUUCCUGGUCAACUUGAGAGAAUCCAGAAUUACCCUGGAUCACCCUGGAAUUGCGUCUGUGGGCGGUAUUUCCAGAGAGGAUUAGAGGAAAACCAAUGAUGAGAAGAUUAAGAAGUGAUAGAUACCUUGAGGCUCUGAGCCCACCACUCUUACCACUCAGUUUGGAGUUCUUUCUACUGUGGUGUGUGGAACCUGUAAAACAGAAUGCAACAAAUACAUUCUUCUUUUGUUGUUGCCAUUGCUGGGUUUUGGUUGUUUGUUUGGUUGUUUUGCUUUUGGUUUUUUGAAACAAGCUUUCUUUUUGUGGUCCUGGCUAUACUGGAACUUACCCUGUAGCCUAGGCUCUCCUCGAAGUCAGAGAUGGCCUACCUCUGCCUCCCAAGUGCUGGAAAUAAAGGCUUGUGCCACC